AUUGAACGCUGGCGGCAUGCCUUACACAUGCAAGUCGAACGACGCCAGGGGGCAACUCCUGGCGAGUGGCGAACGGGUGAGCAAUGCAUCGGAACGUGUCCUCUUGUGGGGGAUAACCAGUCGAAAGACUGGCUAAUACCGCAUGAGAUCGCGAGAUGAAAGCGGGGGAUCCGCAAGGACCUCGCGCGAGAGGAGCGGCCGAUGUCCGAUUAGCUAGUUGGUGAGGUAACGGCUCACCAAGGCGACGAUCGGUAGCUGGUCUGAGAGGACGACCAGCCACGCUGGGACUGAGACACGGCCCAGACUCCUACGGGAGGCAGCAGUGGGGAAUUUUGGACAAUGGGCGCAAGCCUGUUCCAGCCAUGCCGCGUGUGUGAAGAAGUCCUUCGGGUUGUAAAGCACUUUCGGACGGAACGAAAUCGCGCGGGUGAACAAUCCGCGUGGAUGACGGUACCGUAAGAAGAAGCACCGGCUAACUACGUGCCAGCCGCCGCCGUAAUAC
rnacentral:rRNA from 1 species